GAUGAAGAACGUAGCGAAAUGCGAUAAGUAAUGUGAAUUGCAGAAUUCAGUGAAUCAUCGAAUCUUUGAACGCACAUUGCGCCCCCUGGUAUUCCGGGGGGCAUGCCUGUUCGAGCGUCAUUUCACCACUCAAGCCUCGCUUGGUAUUGGGCAACGCGGUCCGCCGCGUGCCUCAAAUCGACCGGCUGGGUCUUCUGUCCCCUAAGCGUUGUGGAAACUAUUCGCUAAAGGGUGUUCGGGAGGCUACGCCGUAAAACAACCCCAUUUCUAAGGUUGACCUCGGAUCAGGUAGGGAUACCCGCUGGACUUAAGCAUAUCAAUAAGCGGAGGA
rnacentral:misc_RNA from 1 species